rnacentral:rRNA from 1 species
AACCGCAAGAACCUUACCCACCUUUGACACGUACGUACGGAAGUUAAGAGAUGGGGUUUCCUGCUUGAAAGGAACCGUAACACAGGUGCUGCAUGGCUGUCGUCAGCUCGUGUCGUUAGAUGUUGGGUUAAGUCCCGCAACGCGCCCAACCCUUGUCAUUAGUUGCUAUGAAAGGGCACUUUAAUGAGACUGCCGGUGACAAACCGGAGGAAGGUGAGGGAUGGAGUCAAGUCCUCAUGGCCCUUAUAGGUGGGGCUACACACGUCAUACAAUGGCUGGUACAGAGGGUUGCCAACCCGCGAGGGGGAGCUAAUCCCAUAAAACCAGUCUUAGUCCGGAUCGCAGUCUGCAACUCGACUGCGUGAAGUCGGAAUCGCUAGUAAUCGCGGAUCAGAAUGUCGCGGUGAAUACAUUCCCGGGUCUUGUACACACCG